CCUCAAAGGCCUCCAAGACCUUGUCCUCCUCCAUAUCCUGGAGCUUGGCCUUAGUAAUAGCCGAUGAUCUUUCUCGGCUACUCUCUCCUUCCUUGCCGUGGGCUUCUCUUCGGCUGCCUUUCAAGCUGCUAUCAGCUCCCUCUCUAGCUCAACGAUCUUCUUCUAUUGAAUUUCUACUACUACCCCCUUGUAGGCAAUCUUUCCCUCUAGGACCUCCAUCUAGUCAUAGGUCUGCUAGAGCUUGGACAAUGCUCGAGAAGCCUGCUCCUUGGUGGCUUGGGCUCGGGCCUUAGUAGCUUGGGCUCUGUCCUCCAAUUUAUGCUCAGAUUGCAGAAGCCUAAAUCCUGUCAUUGAGCAUGGCAAAGUUGCGGACCAGCUACAAAAGCAAAAAGAUUAAAUGUAAAGCCAUGAAGAUCAGAAAAGACCAAAGCAAAGAAAAAAGAGGGAGGAGA
rnacentral:lncRNA from 1 species